rnacentral:rRNA from 1 species
GACGAACGCUGGCGGCGUGCUUAACACAUGCAAGUCGAACGAAAAGAGGGAAAGAGCUUGCUCUUUCCGGAAUUGAGUGGCAAACGGGUGAGUAACACGUAAACAACCUGCCUUCAGGAUGGGGACAACAGACGGAAACGACUGCUAAUACCGAAUAAGUUCCAAGAGCCGCAUGGCCCAUGGAAGAAAAGGUGGCCUCUACCUGUAAGCUAUCGCCUGAAGAGGGGUUUGCGUCUGAUUAGCUGGUUGGAGGGGUAACGGCCCACCAAGGCGACGAUCAGUAGCCGGUCUGAGAGGAUGAACGGCCACACUGGAACUGAGACACGGGCCAGACUCCUACGGGAGGCAGCAGUGGGGAAUCUUACGCAAUGGGCGAAAGCCUGACGGAGCAACGCCGCGUGAGUGAUGACGGCCUUCGGGUUGUAAAACUCUGUGAUCCGGGACGAAAAGGCAGAGUGCGAAGAACAAACUGCAUUGACGGUACCGGAAAAGCAAGCCACGGCUAACUACGUG